rnacentral:lncRNA from 1 species
UUUGCCUUUACCCUUGGUGGCUCGCGUAGCUUUUCCUUUGGGAGGCAUGAUGAGGGUAUUGCAAAGACCCAAAAAUGCCUCAUUAGCACAACCUCCAAAGCUUAAUUUCCACAUAUAAGACAAUAAAAAUCAAGGCAAAUCAUGCCACCACCCAACAUAUCAAAACAAUUCAAAGGCCAAACUCAUGCGUUGCUUAUGCAUAAAACAUAUGGCAUGUGAGUAUAUACAUAAGCUAAAACAAUAUAGAGCAAGAGAAUAAAGCUAAAGAAAAUCAUCCCCCACACCAUAGCAUAAGAACCAAAUCCACACCAAGAGCUCAAAUUGACCAACAAUUAAGUUU